AGUCCUAUUUCUGCAGAAAACAUCUUCCUCAUUUGUAUGCCAGAUCAGCUAUACUCCUUCAGAGAACAGCGUGUGUCCAGUGCUCUGCCGGUGGAGAAAGUGUUUUUUCUCCGUGAGUGAUUUCAAGUCUAAAGGAGGAGACUCAAUGAGACAGACGUAGGUCCUCCAUCAUCAGUUAUUACACUUCUGAAACAAAUAUAUCAGAGGAGGCCUAAACACCUACUUUAUUAAAAUUCUUCCUAUCCGAUAUACUACAACUACAUCUUAGCUGAAUGCAAUUUGUGGAACCAUGUGAAAUAGGUAUUAACCUGCUUUUGCAAAUGAAGAAUCUGAGCCUGAAGGAAGAUUAGUAACUUACUCAGGAUU